AUCUCCUAUCAACAUGUGGCUCUGGUACCUGAGUAAGUCAGAAGAGGAUGUUAAUCUCAUGAACUGGAGUUCCAAUCAUUGUGAGAAACCUGGUGGGUGCUGAUAAAUGAACUUCAGUCCUCUGCAAAAGCAACAAGAGGACUACAGGACUCUGCCCAUUGCUUGGCUGUGGAUCUCUGCAUCUGCUUCUAUCAGUUACUGGAUGAAGGCUCUGUGAUGACAAUUAGCUAGUCACCAAUCUGAUUACAGGAAAAGGCCAGUUCAGACACCCUCUACACUAUUGCUAGGAGUCUUAGCUGGGGUCAUCCUUGUGGAUUCCUAGGAGUUUUUUUGGCACCACUUUUCUUCCUAACCCCAAAAUGCAUCCACCACCAAGAAAUGUCUUUCCUUAAGUUCCCCCUCUGUCCUGCCCCCAGCCCACCUCUAGUGUCCAGUCCACCAAAUACACUUUUAAAACCAGACUUCCUAAGCUGGAGGUAGACAGAAUAUGCUUAUAUUUUUGAUUAUUGCUUGAAUUCAGUAUUGAAGAAGUUAAAAUCUUUUUAAUCAUGUUAUAUGGUUAUAUUAGCAAAGGGAAACACAUAUGGUAUUCCAUAUAUAAGAGAUCAUGGAAAACUGCCCACUCUUAUUUCAUUUGUGUUUCCAGUAUGUCUUUUCUUAAUUGAUUUUUAUUUAAAUUAAAAACAAUCUUAUUUUA